rnacentral:rRNA from 1 species
UACGUAGGCAGCAAGCGUUGUUCGGAAUUACUGGGCGUAAAGAGUGUGUAGGCGGUUCUCUAAGUUCCGUGUGAAAUCUCCCGGCUUAACUGGGAGGGUGCGCGGAAGACUGGAGGGCUGGAGUAUGGGAGAGGAAAGCGGAAUUCCUGGUGUAGCGGUGAAAUGCGUAGAUAUCAGGAGGAACACCUGCGGUGUAGACAGCUUUCUGGACCAUCACUGACGCUGAGACGCGAAAGCGUGGGGAGCAAACAGG